CACACCACCCCACCGGUCGGUCAUCGGCCAUCGCCUUCGCGUUCGCUUUAUCGGCUCUGGCAUCUUCUCGCCCAGCUCUUCCGCCAGCUCCAUCGCAGUCCCCAUUACUGCACUGCGCUCUGUCGCCUCCUCUCUUCCCCACCUCGCUGCUCCGAUCCAGCAAGAGCUCCAUCCGCGCGCAGGGAGGUCGUCAGAUGGAGUUCGUGCUCAUCAUCUCGCUGCCGCUGCUCAUACUCAUCAUCAUCGUCGCCGUCGUCCUCUGCAUCAUCUGCCGCUAGGCUCGCUGAACGUCCACAGAGAAGAAGAAGAAGGUUCAGCCCCGUCCGUCUCUGCAGUCUGCACUCUGCUAGCUGUGAUCCUACCAUACCAUGUGUUAGUGCUGAUUUGACAUUGUACGUACAGCAUGACCUGAUAAACCCUCCUCUCUCUCUCUCUCUCUCUCUCUCUCUCUCUCUCUCUCUCUCUCUCUCUCUCUCUCUCUCUCUCUUGUCUGCAUUGCCGUACGUGAGAUUAAUCCGCUGUAGCUCUCUAUACGUUGUUUCUUUUCUUCAUCUCUCUUUUCCUAAAAGAAAAAAAAAAAGAAACGGCCGUUUGUGCA